AGGACGAACGCUGGCGGCGUGCUUAACACAUGCAAGUCGAACGGAGUCCAUCCGGUGGCAACACCGGUGAAGGCUCAGUGGCGAACGGGUGCGGAACACGUGAGCAACCUGCCCCAAAGACCGGGAUAACACCGGGAAACUGGUGCUAAUACCGGAUACCCCCACGAGCUCGCAUGGGCUCAUGAGGAAAGGGUUUCCGCUUUGGGAGGGGCUCGCGGCCUAUCAGCUUGUUGGUGAGGUAAUGGCUCACCAAGGCUUCGGCGGGUAGCUGGUCUGAGAGGACGAUCAGCCACACUGGGACUGAGACACGGCCCAGACUCCUACGGGAGGCAGCAGUGGGGAAUCUUGCACAAUGGGCGAAAGCCUGAUGCAGCAACGCCGCGUGAGGGACGAAGGCUUUCUGAGUUGUAAACCUCUUUCAGCAGGGACGAUUGUGACGGUACCUGCAGAAGAAGCCCCGGCAACUACGUGCCAGCAGCCGC
rnacentral:rRNA from 1 species